rnacentral:rRNA from 1 species
GACGAACGCUGGCAGCGUGCCUAAUACAUGCAAGUAGAACGCUGAAGAGAGGAGCUUGCUCUUCUUGGAUGAGUUGCGAACGGGUGAGUAACGCGUAGGUAACCUGCCUUGUAGCGGGGGAUAACUAUUGGAAACGAUAGCUAAUACCGCAUAACAAUGGAUGACACAUGUCAUUUAUUUGAAAGGGGCAAUUGCUCCACUACAAGAUGGACCUGCGUUGUAUUAGCUAGUAGGUGAGGUAAUGGCUCACCUAGGCGACGAUACAUAGCCGACCUGAGAGGGUGAUCGGCCACACUGGGACUGAGACACGGCCCAGACUCCUGCGGGAGGCAGCAGUAGGGAAUCUUCGGCAAUGGGGGCAACCCUGACCGAGCAACGCCGCGUGAGUGAAGAAGGUUUUCGGAUCGUAAGGCUCUGUUGUAAGUCAAGAACGGGUGUGAGAGUGGAAAGUUCACACUGUGACGGUAGCUUACCAGAAAGGGACGGCUAACUACGUG